GACGAACGCUGGCGGCGUGCUUAACACAUGCAAGUCGAACGGAAAGGCCCUGCUUUUGUGGGGUGCUCGAGUGGCGAACGGGUGAGUAACACGUGAGUAACCUGCCCUUGACUUUGGGAUAACUUCAGGAAACUGGGGCUAAUACCGGAUAGGAGCUCCUGCUGCAUGGUGGGGGUUGGAAAGUUUCGGCGGUUGGGGAUGGACUCGCGGGUUAUCAGCUUGUUGGUGGGGUCGUGGCUUACCAAGGCUUUGAUGGGUAGCCGGCAUGAGAGGGUGACCGGCCACAUUGGGACUAGGAAGCGACCCAGUCUCUUGCGGGAGGCAGCAGUGGGGAAAAUUGCACAAUGGCCGGAAGCCUGAUGCGGCAACGCCGCGUUCGGGAUGUCGGCCUUCGGGUUGUAAACCGCUUUCGCCUGUGACGAAGCGUGAGUGACGGUAAUGGGUAAAGAAGCACCGGCUAACUACGUG
rnacentral:rRNA from 1 species